rnacentral:rRNA from 1 species
ACGCACGCUGGCGGCGUGCUUAACACAUGCAAGUCGCACGAUGAAGCCUAGCUUGCUAGGUGGAUUAGUGGCGAACGGGUGAGUAAUACGUGAGUAACCUACCUUUAACUCUGGGAUAAGCCUGGGAAACUGGGUCUAAUACCGGAUACGACCAAUCUCCGCAUGGGGUGUUGGUGGAAAGCGUUAUGUAGUGGUUAUAGAUGGGCUCACGGCCUAUCAGCUUGUUGGUGAGGUAACGGCUCACCAAGGCGACGACGGGUAGCCGGCCUGAGAGGGUGACCGGCCACACUGGGACUGAGACACGGCCCAGACUCCUACGGGAGGCAGCAGUGGGGAAUAUUGCACAAUGGGCGCAAGCCUGAUGCAGCGACGCCGCGUGAGGGAUGACGGCCUUCGGGUUGUAAACCUCUGUUAGCAGGGAAGAAGAGAAAUUGACGGUACCUGCAGAGAAAGCGCCGGCUAACUACGUG